GCUGCUGCCGGAGCCCGAGCCGGAGCCGGCUCUUGAAGAGGAGCCGCCCCGGCCCCACGCCCCACGCCCCCAGGAGCUCCGGGCCAUGGGCAUGGAUCGGGAGACCCCGGCAGCCAAGAGAAGGAGGAGGAGCCGGGACUGGUCGAGGGUGACCCGGGGGACGGCGCCAUUGAGGACCCGGAGCUGGAAGCUAUCAAAGCUGGAGUCAGGGAGAUGGAGGAAGAAGCUGAGAAGCUAAAGGAACUACAGAACGAGGUAGAGAAGCAGAUGAAUAUGAGUCCACCUCCAGGCAAUGCUGGCCCAGUGAUCAUGCCCAUUGAGGAGAAGAUGGAGGCUGAUGCCCGUUCCAUCUAUGUUGGCAGUGUGGACUUGGUGCAACAGCAGAAGAGCUGGAAGCUCACUUUCAUGGCUGUGGUUCAGUCAACCGUGUUACCAUACUCUGUGACAAAUUUAGCGGCCAUCCCAAAGGGUUUGCAUAUGUAAGAGUUCUCAGACAAAGAGUUAGUGAGGACUUCCUUGGCUUUAGAUGAGUCCCUAUUUAGAGGAAGGCAAAUCAAGGUGAUCCCAAAACGAACCAACAGACCAGGCAUCAGUACAGCAGACCGGGGUUUUCCACGAGUCCACUACCGCGCACGGACCACCAACUACAACAGCUCACCCUCUCGAUUCUACAGUGGUUUUAACAGCAGGCCCCGGGGUCGCGUCUACAGGGGCCGGGCUAGAGUGACAUCGUGGUAUUCCUUACUUUAGAAAGUGUGUAUUAGGCGGAGAGAGAGGAAAAAAAGAGGAAAUAAAGAAAAAAAAAAAAAAGGAAUUAAAAAAAAAAAGAAAGAAAAACAGAAGAUGACCUUGAUGAAAAAAAAAGUAUUUUUAAAAAAAAGAUAUGCUGUGGAAGGGGGGAGAAUCCCAUUAACUGACUGCUGAGGAGGGACCUGCUUUGGGGAGUAGGGGAACGCCCCCAGGGAGUGGGGCAGAGGGCUGCUUAUUCACUCUGGGGAUUCACCAUGGACACGUCUCAACUGCGCAAGCUGCUCCCCUUGUUUCCCUGCCCCACUUCACCCCCUUGGGGGCUGCUCAAGGGUAGGUGGGUAUGGGUGGUAGGUUUUUUUUUUUAACCCAGGGCUCUGGAAGGACACCAAACUGUUCUGCUUGUUACCUUCCCUCCGUCUCCUCACCUUUCACAGUCCCCUCCUGCCUGGCUCUGUCCAGCCAGGUCUACCACCCACCCCACCCCUCUUCUCCGGCUCCCUGCCCCUCCAGGUUGCCUGGUGAUCUGUUUUGUUUCCUUUUGUGUUUCUUUUUCUGCUUUGAGUGUCUUUGCAGGUUUCUGUAGCUGGAAGAUCUCCAUUCCGCUCCCAGCAGCUCCAGUGUAAAUUCCCCUUCCCCCUGGGGAAAUGCACUACCUUGUUUUGGGGGUUUUAGGGGUGUUUUUGUUUUUCAGGGUUUUUUUUUUUGUUUUGUUUUCCUUUGCCUUUUUUCCCUUUUAUUUGGAAGGAAUGGGAGGAAGUGGGAACAGGGAGGUGGGAGCUGGAUUUUGUUUAUUUUUUUAGCUCAUUUCCAGGGGUGGGAAUUUUUUUUAAAUAUGUGUCAUGAAUAAAGUUGUUUUUGAAAAUAAAAAAA